GCUUAGGUUUCUCGUCUUAGGAUCAUCUGGGGUCAUUCGUACUCGUCCGCGAGAGGUGAAAUUCUUGGACCGGACGAAGACGAUCAGCAGCGAAAGCAUCUGUCAGGGAUGUUUUCUGCGACAAAGGACGAAGGUCAGGGUAUCGAAGACGAUUAGAUACCGUCGUAGUCCUGACUGUAAACUAUGCCGACUUGGGUCUUGCAGAGUAAUUACUUUGUGAGACCACACAGAAAUGAAAGUGUAUGGGUUCUGGGGGUAGUAUGGACACAAGUCUGAAACUUGAAGGAAUUGACGGAAGAGCACCAUAAGACGUGGAGCUUGCGGCUUAAUUUGACUCAACGCGGGAAAACUUACCAGGUCAAGACAUGGGCGUGAUUGACAGGCUAAUGACCUUUCUCGAUUCCUUGGAUGGUGGUGCAUGGUCGCACUUAGUUGGUGCAGUGAUUUGUCAGGUUUAUUCCGGUAACGAACGAGACCUCGGCCUUGUAACUAGCUUUACUGCUGCUUACAGGGACAAUGUCGGCUACGUCAAGGAAGUUCGAGGCAAUUGCAGAUCUGGAAUGCCCUUAGAUGUCCUGGGUCGCACGCGUGCUACAAUGACGCCACGAGCGAGUUUACGUGAUGAAAGUCACGUAAAAUCAGC
rnacentral:rRNA from 1 species